rnacentral:tRNA from 1 species
GCCCUCGUAGCUCAGUCGGAUAGAGCACAGGAUUCCUAAUCCUGGUGCCGCAGGUUCGAUUCCUGCCGAGGGCA